GUACGGAGCGUGCCGAAGAAAGAAGAGUUAUUUACCUAGUACUUUUCGAAGAUGCACCGUGAUCUACGGGUACGGGGUGUGCCGAGGAAAGAUAGGUAUUUUUUCUAAGAUUAAUCGCAUCUAUUUAAUUAAAAAAAAGAGAUACAACUCUACUAGUACAAAAUUAAUUCAAAACUCUCGAGCUCUUUAUUUUCUAAUUACAUCAAUUUUAAGAUAAUUUAUUUUCUAAAUCAAAACAGUGCUUCUUUCUUUUAUUUUGCAAUCUCAACUUAGCCCAAG
rnacentral:lncRNA from 1 species